AACACAUAAAAAAAGUCAGGGUAGAGGGCAGUUUUGACUAAUGAAUGGAGUAUUGGCAGUAUGCUAUACUAACUGCAGGAUUUCGCCAACACCAAUAGAGUUUGCCUCUAUGAUUAGAAUCUGGUGUACUCACUGCUAUAUUC
rnacentral:snoRNA from 1 species